UGGGGAAUCUUAGACAAUGGGGGAAACCCUGAUCUAGCCAUGCCGCGUGAGUGACGAAGGCCCUAGGGUCGUAAAGCUCUUUCGCCAGGGAAGAUAAUGACGGUACCUGGUAAAGAAGUCCCGGCUAACUCCGUGCCAGCAGCCGCGGUAAUACGGAGGGGACUAGCGUUGUUCGGAAUUACUGGGCGUAAAGCGCGCGUAGGCGGAUCGUUAAGUCAGGGGUGAAAUCCCGGGGCUCAACCCCGGAACUGCCUUUGAUACUGGCAAUCUUGAGUCCGAGAGAGGUGAGUGGAAUUCCGAGUGUAGAGGUGAAAUUCGUAGAUAUUCGGAGGAACACCAGUGGCGAAGGCGGCUCACUGGCUCGGUACUGACGCUGAGGUGCGAAAGCGUGGGGAGCAAACAGGAUUAGAUACCCCCGUAGUCC
rnacentral:rRNA from 1 species